UUCACGCUUUUUUGGGAUUCUAUUUUCUUUAUUUUUUGAGUUUUCUUUUUCUCUUCACUACGCCGAGAAAAUCGUUCACCUCCAUAACUCCGUCUUAAUUCCGGUUCCAAUUCCGACGACUCAAUCGUAGCGAAGGACGAUCGGCUAUGCUUGAUGUGAGGGCAGUCGCAAUUCUCGUGGGGAAGCCAAGAGAGGAGAGGACGGGGUCCACAGCAGAGAGUCGUUCGUCGUUGUCGGCGGCGGAGAAUUUCGUGGCGGCGUAGCGUUGAGCCACGAGAGUCUUCGAUUCAAGAAGAUAGCGAAGAACGACGGAGAAUUUCGUGGCGGCGUAGCGCAAUGGAAGACCUCGUAUCCUUUCUCGUGCUUGAACUGAACAAACUCCUUUUUACUCUUAACUUCUUUUCCCCCAAGGUCUGAUAACUCUUCUCACUCAGAAGCAACAUGAAAUGGAUUGAAGACAGCGCUUACUACCAGAGCAUUGAAAAAAGAUCCAAACUUUUACACCCAUUGAUGGUAUUCGUAUUAAGAGAGAUACUAGAAUAGGGAAAAGAGGCAUCCCAUGUAACAAGAAAGUUUGCUUACAGAACAACAAAACCAGAGAUGCAUCUUUCUCUUUAUUUUGUUUUGUUUCAGGCCUCAAUGCAUGGGAAAAGCAGGGAGACGAAAGCAAACAUGGGGAUCAAAGAGGCUUUACCGGGUUGCGACGAGUGUGUUGUUACUAAUAUAUUCAACUAGCGAGGAGACGAAUUGUAUUGGAGAUGAUGGAGAGUUUGUUUGUACAAGAGAACGUCAUCGAAAGAUUAUUCUCCAAUGGUUGAUGUCGAAGGUAACUCAGGUCUUUUACUGGAUAUUGACGUGAACAAUUAAACGGAAACAACAAAUUCUCAAAUCUCAAUGUUCUGCUCUCUCCCACACGUCCUUGUGGCUAAAAAAGUCUAGUUGUUAAUGGGCCCCUUGAAAGCAUUUCUUCUGAUCUUGCUUUAGAUACAUUAGCUGAAGUGUGUAGGUGGAACUCUGUGCAUAAGUAGUUUGGAGGGGAUGUGAUAGAGAAUGAUUUUGUGGGCAAUGGCAGUUUUCUUAUGCUUUUUAUUUGUAUUUUGAACGUGUAAAAUUUGAUAUUUUGGUUUUAUAAAGUUUUAGGAAGAUUGAAACA